rnacentral:rRNA from 1 species
AGGUUUCCUGUCCAAGGAUCAUCCGGGCAGGGUAAGUCGGUGCCUAAGGUGUAGCCGAAAGGCGAAGCUGAUGGGAAUCAGGUUAAUAUUCCUGAACCAUGAACGAGGAGCAGAGCAGGGACGGAGAAGGGUAGGUCAGCCGGUCAUCGGAUUCCGGUUCAAGCGGGUAGGUAGCACGCGUAGGAACAAAACGCGCGGGCAAUGCCGAGACGUGACGACGAAGAGCUUCGGCUCGAAGUGAUUGAUCCCACGCUUCCAAGAAAAUCUGCGGGCUGCGUUGAGUCGUUCAUGACCGUACCGCAAACCGACUCAGGUGGGCUGGUGGAGAACACCGAGGCGUUCGAGAGAACCCAGGUUAAGGAACUCGGCAAAUUGACACCGUAACUUCGGAAUAAGGUGUGCCAUCGGUACGUGAAGGGCUUGCGCCCGGAGCGGAGGAUGGUUGCAACAAAGCGGCG